AGUGAACGCUGGCGGUAGGCCUAACACAUGCAAGUCGAACGGCAGCACAGUAAGAGCUUGCUCUUACGGGUGGCGAGUGGCGGACGGGUGAGGAAUACAUCGGAAUCUACUUUUUCGUGGGGGAUAACGUAGGGAAACUUACGCUAAUACCGCAUACGACCUACGGGUGAAAGCAGGGGAUCUUCGGACCUUGCGCGAUUGAAUGAGCCGAUGUCGGAUUAGCUAGUUGGCGGGGUAAAGGCCCACCAAGGCGACGAUCCGUAGCUGGUCUGAGAGGAUGAACAGCCCACCUGGAAAUGGGGCCCGGUCCAGACCCCAACGGGGGGCCACAGGGGGGAAUAUUGGAAAAUGGGGGGAAGGCUGAUCCACCCAUACCCCGUGGGUGAAGAAGGCCUUUGGGUUGGAAAGCCCUUUUGUUGGGAAAAAAAAGAAGCAGGUUAAAACCCCCCUGUUCUGACGGGACCCAAAGAAAAAGCACCGGCUAACUUCG
rnacentral:rRNA from 1 species